rnacentral:rRNA from 1 species
AAGGAGCUUGCUCCUUUGACGUUAGCGGCGGACGGGUGAGUAACACGUGGGUAACCUACCUAUAAGACUGGGAUAACUUCGGGAAACCGGAGCUAAUACCGGAUAACAUUUGGAACCGCAUGGUUCUAAAGUGAAAGAUGGUUUUGCUAUCACUUAUAGAUGGACCCGCGCCGUAUUAGCUAGUUGGUAAGGUAACGGCUUACCAAGGCGACGAUACGUAGCCGACCUGAGAGGGUGAUCGGCCACACUGGAACUGAGACACGGUCCAGACUCCUACGGGAGGCAGCAGUAGGGAAUCUUCCGCAAUGGGCGAAAGCCUGACGGAGCAACGCCGCGUGAGUGAUGAAGGGUUUCGGCUCGUAAAACUCUGUUAUUAGGGAAGAACAAACGUGUAAGUAACUGUGCACGUCUUGACGGUACCUAAUCAGAAAGCCACGGCUAACUACGUGCCAGCAGCCGCGGUAAUACGUAGGUGGCAAGCGUUAUCCGGAAUUAUUGGGCGUAAAGCGCGCGUAGGCGGUUUCUUAAGUCUGAUGUGAAAGCCCACGGCUCAACCGUGGAGGGUCAUUGGAAACUGGGAAACUUGAGUGCAGAAGAGGAAAGUGGAAUUCCAUGUGUAGCGGUGAAAUGCGCAGAGAUAUGGAGGAACACCAGUGGCGAAGGCGACUUUCUGGUCUGUAACUGACGCUGAUGUGCGAAAGCGUGGGGAUCAAACAGGAUUAGAUACCCUGGUAGUCCACGCCGUAAACGAUGAGUGCUAAGUGUUAGGGGGGUUUCGCCCCCUAGUGCUGCA